rnacentral:piRNA from 1 species
UUCAUCAUAUGUGCAACGUUCUGCAAAUUC